rnacentral:rRNA from 1 species
GAUGAACGCUGGCGGCGUGCCUAAUACAUGCAAGUCGAGCGAACACACGAGGAGCUUGUUCCUUUAACGUUAGCGGCUGACGGGUGAGUAACACGUGGAUAACCUUCCUAUAAGACUUGGAUAAUUUCGGGAAACCAGUGCUACUACCGCCUCAUAUAUCGAACCGCAUGGUUCAGUAGUGCAACAGGCUUUUGCUGACUCUUAUAGAUGAUUCCGCGCCGCAUUAGCUAGUUGGUAAGGUAACGGCCUACCAAGGCGACGUUGCGUAGCCGACCUGAGAGGGUGAUCGGCCACACUGGAACUGAGACACGGUCCAGACUCCUACGGGAGGCAGCAGUAGGGAAUCUUCCGCAAUGGGCGAAAGCCUGACGGAGCAACACCGCGUGAGUGAUGAAGGUCUUCGGAUCGUAAAGCCCUGUUAUUAGGGAAGAACAACUGUGUAAGAAACUAUGCCCGUCUUGACGGUACCUAAUCAGAAAGCCACGGCUAACUACGUG